AACGAACGCUGGCGGCAUGCCUAACACAUGCAAGUCGAACGAGAUCUUCGGGUCUAGUGGCGCACGGGUGCGUAACGCGUGGGAAUCUGCCCUUUGGUUCGGAAUAACAGUUGGAAACGACUGCUAAUACCGGAUGAUGACGAAAGUCCAAAGAUUUAUCGCCAGAGGAUGAGCCCGCGUAGGAUUAGCUAGUUGGUGUGGUAAAGGCGCACCAAGGCGACGAUCCUUAGCUGGUCUGAGAGGAUGAUCAGCCACACUGGGACUGAGACACGGCCCAGACUCCUACGGGAUGCAGCAGUGGGGAAUAUUGGACGAUGGGCGAAAGCCUGCUACAGUAAUGCCGCGUGAGUGAUGAAGGCCUUAGGGUUGUAAAGCUCUUUUACCCGGGAUGAUAAUGACAGUACCGGUAGAAUAAGCCCCGGCUAUCUCCGUGCCAGCCGCCGCUGUAAUAC
rnacentral:rRNA from 1 species